GAAAAGUUUGAUUCUUGCUUGUUUGUUAAUUUUUAAUACAUUUUAUAUGUGUUGUUUUCUUGAUGGUUAAUUUUGCAAUAUUUAGAAUUGAAUAUCAAGGAGAUUUGGAUUUGGUGUUAUUUUAUUGUGUCGGUUAAUUUUGUGCCGGCUUUAUACAUUUGAUGCUUAUUAACAUUUUCAUUUUUGCAGUUGUUUAUUUUUUAUAAAGUUUUUUGUUUUUAGGUGGAAUUUUAAUUUUUUUUAAAGUUUAUGUAGGCUGUGAAGUCCUUUUAUUUAAACUAGGAUUAGAUACCCUAUUAUUGAGGAUGUAAAGUUUUUUUGAGUAGUAUUAGUUAAUUUCUUGAAACUUAAAGAAUUUGGCGGUAUUUUGUUCCUUUCAGAGGAAUCUGUCUUGUAAUCGAUAGUCCGCGUUGAACCUUACUCCUCUUUCUUUUUGUAUACCUCCGUUAUAGGAGAAUUUUUUUAGGAUUUUAAUUUUCAUUAGAUUUUUUAUGUAUAUUAUUUCAGGUCAAGGUGCAGAUUUUAUGGGAGUUUUGAUGGAUUACAUUGUUUUUUAUUUUUAUUUGGGUUUUUAUUGUAAAGUGUUUAUUAAAAUGGAUUUGGUUGUAACUUUAUGUAGUUUGUUGUUGUGAAAUGGAUCUAUAAUAUGUACACAUCGCCCGUCACUCUCGUUAUUUUAUGAGAAAAGUCGUAACAUAGUGGUCGUACCGGAAGGUGUGGCUGGUAAGGU
rnacentral:ncRNA from 1 species